AACCNUGGUAAUUCUGGAGCUAAUNCNUGCUUAAAACCCCGACUCCGGAAGGGGUGUAUUUAUUARAUAAAAAACCNAUGCCCUYCGGGGCUCCUUGGUGAUUCAUAAUAACUCAACNAAUCNCAUGGCCUUGCGCCCGCNAUGGUUCAUUCAAAUUUCUGCCCUAUCAACUUUCGAUGGUAGGGUUUUGGCCUACCAUGGUCUCAACGGGUAACGGGGAAUUAGGGUUCUAUUCCCGAGAGGGAGCCUGAGAAACGGCUACCACAUCCAAGGAAGGCAGCAGGCGCGCAAAUUACCCAAUCGCAAUACGGAGAGGUAGUGACAAUAAAUACUGAUACAGGGCUCUUUCGGGUCUUGUAAUUGGAAUGAGUACAAUCUAAAUCCUUAACGAGGAUCAAUUGGAGGNCAAGUCUGGUGCCAGCAGCCGCGGUAAUUCCAGCUCCAAUAGCGUAUAUUAAAGUUGUUGCAGUUAAAAAGCUNGUAGUUGAACNUUGGGUCUGGCUGAUCUGUCUUCCUAACCGUUGCAYGGAUUCGGUCGGNCCUUUCCUUCUGGGRAAACCUAUGCCYUUCAUUGGGUGUAGCGGGGAACCAGGACUUUUACCUUGAAAAAAUUAGAGUGUUCAAACCAGGCCUUUGCUNGAAUACAUUAGCAGGAAUAAUAGAAUA
rnacentral:rRNA from 1 species